CGCACAACAGCGCUGCAUGGUUCCCCCGUGUCCGGCCCAGCCAGACAGGGGAACAAGAGGGAAUGUGGUGCGGGCUGAUCCAAACAGGAGGCCCAAGGCCACAGCCGCCCCCGCGACUGUAAGCGGUGAGCGCCCGUCAAUUCAGCCACUGGAUCACUCCGGGAAGGCGACGACGCGCUACGACCCGCAAGCCAGGAGACCUGCCAUGCCAAAUGCAACCUG
rnacentral:ncRNA from 1 species